UGUGCAGGCCACCUUAUCGCUUUUGUUUUUCAAAAGAGGAAAGUCCGGACACCAUAGAGCAUUAUAGCGGGUAACACCCGUCACUAUGAAAAUAGAGGACAAGUGCAACAGAAAGAAUGUACAGUUAGGCUGUAGUGAAAUCAGGUAAACUCUAUAAGGUGAAACGCCACGUAAACCAACUUUUGAGAAUUGCUCGUUCGAUGUUGGAGGGUGGGCGGUUUGAACAAAAUAGUAAUAUUUUGUCUAGAUAAAUGAUAAGGCACGACAGAAUCCGGCUUAUGGCCUGCUUUUUAU
rnacentral:RNase_P_RNA from 1 species